rnacentral:rRNA from 1 species
CUGCUGCCUUCCGUAGGAGUCUGGUCCGUGUCUCAGUACCAGUGUGGGGGACCUUCCUCUCAGAACCCCUAGACAUCGUCGCCUUGGUGGGCCGUUACCCCGCCAACAAGCUAAUGUCACGCAUGCCCAUCCGUCUCCGGAGUCGCCUCCUUUGGCCGAAAGAAGAUGCCUCCCCUCGGCCACAUGCGGUAUUAGGCCGGAUUUCUCCGGGUUAUCCCGCUGAAACGGGCAGGUUGCAUACGCGUUACUCACCCGUGCGCCGGUCCG